ACAAGGUUUAACAAGGCUUUACCAAGGUUUAACAAGGCUUUAACAAGGUUUAACAAUGAUUUAACAAGGUUUAACAAGGCUUUAACAAGGUUUAACAAUGAUUUAACAAGGUUUAACAAGGCUUUACCAAGGUUUAACAAGGCUUUAACAAGGUUUAACAAUGAUUUAACAAGGUUUAACAAGGCUUUAACAAGGUUUAACAAUGAUUUAACAAGGUUUAACAAGGCUUUAACAAGGUUUAACAAUGAUUUAACAAGGUUUAACAAGGCUUUACCAAGGUUUAACAAGGCUUUAACAAGGUUUAACAAUGAUUUAACAAGGUUUAACAAGGCUUUAACAAGGUUUAACAAUGAUUUAUCAAGGUUUAACAAUGA